rnacentral:rRNA from 1 species
UUCGCAAUGCCCGAAAGGGUGACGAAGCGACGCCGCGUGUGGGAAGAAGGCCUUCGGGUUGUAAACCACUGUCGGGAGUUAAGAAAUGUAAGGAUGUUAAUAGCGUUCUUACUUGACUAAGGCUCCGGAGGAAGCCACGGCUAACUCUGUGCCAGCAGCCGCGGUAAUACAGAGGCGGCAAGCGUUGUUCGGUAUUAUUGGGCGUAAAGAGCACGUAGGUGGUUUUGUAAGUCAGAUGUGAAAGCCUUCUGUUCAAAGGAAGAACGGCAUCUGAAACUGCGAAUCUUGAGUGUAGGAGGGGAGAGUGGAACUUCUGGUGGAGCGGUGAAAUGCGUAGAUAUCAGAAGGAACGCCGGCGGCGAAAGCGGCUCUCUGGCCCGUAACUGACGCUGAGUGUGCGAAAGCUAGGGGAGCAAACGGGAUUAGAUACCCCGGUAGUCCUAGCCGUAAACGAUGGGCACUAAGUAGAGGGGUUUU